UCCCCGAUGGCACAAUUGGAAUUGGCUAGCGCGUCAGACUGUUACUGGAGGUUGGUGGUUCGAGCCCACCUCGGGGAG
rnacentral:tRNA from 1 species